rnacentral:rRNA from 1 species
GUCUACAGCCAUAUCACCCUGAACGUGCCUGAUCUCGUCUGAUCUCGGAAGCUAAGCAGGGUCGGGCCCAGUUAGUACUUGAAGGGGAGACCACCUAGGAAGACCAGGUGCUGUAGGCA